rnacentral:rRNA from 1 species
UGAGUAACGCGUGAGUAACCUGCCUUCAAGAGGGGGAUAACAUUCUGAAAAGAAUGCUAAUACCGCAUGACAUAUCGGAACCACAUGGUUUUGAUAUCAAAGAUUUUAUCGCUUGAAGAUGGGCUCGCGUCCGAUUAGUUAGUUGGUGAGGUAACGGCUCACCAAGACCGCGAUCGGUAGCCGGACUGAGAGGUUGAACGGCCACAUUGGGACUGAGACACGGCCCAGACUCCUACGGGAGGCAGCAUG